rnacentral:rRNA from 1 species
UACGAAGGGGGGCUAGCGUUGUUCGGAUUUACUGGGCGUAAAGCGCACGUAGGCGGAUUGUUAAGUCAGGGGUGAAAUCCUGGAGCUCAACUCCAGAACUGCCUUUGAUACUGGCAAUCUAGAGUCCGGAAGAGGUGAGUGGAACUCCUAGUGUAGAGGUGGAAUUCGUAGAUAUUAGGAAGAACACCAGUGGCGAAGGCGGCUCACUGGUCCGGUACUGACGCUGAGGUGCGAAAGCGUGGGGAGCAAACAGG